rnacentral:rRNA from 1 species
AGAGCGAACGCUGGCGGCAGGCCUAACACAUGCAAGUCGAGCGCCCGUAGCAAUACGGGAGCGGCAGACGGGAUAGUAACACGUGGGAACGCGCCCUUCGGUUCGGAAUAACUCAGGGAAACUUGAGCUAAUACCGGAUACGCCCUUACGGGGAAAGAUUUAUUGCCGAAGGAACGGCCCGCGUCCGAUUAGCUAGUCGGUGAGGUAAUGGCUCACCAAGGCGACGAUCGGUAGCUGGUCUGAGAGGAUGACCAGCAUCACUGGGACUGAGACACGGCCCAGACUCCUACGGGAGGCAGCAGUGGGGAAUAUUGGACAAUGGGCGCAAGCCUGAUCCAGCCAUGCCGCGUGGAUGAUGAAGGCCUUAGGGUUGUAAAGUCCUUUUAACGGGGAAGAUAAUGACGGUACCCGUAGAAUAAGCCCCGGCUAACUUCGUGCCAGCAGCCGC